rnacentral:lncRNA from 1 species
CGGUAGCGCGGCAGCUCGCGGUAGCGGGACGCGUACUGGUCCCAGCGCGGCUCCCGGUGGCGCCUCACGUACUCGCUCUUCACCCCGCUGCCCGGGGACAUGGUGCCGCUCCACUCCCUACGCGUCGCCCGCGGAACUCGUGACACAGAGACCACCUCCAUGCAGAGUUUUUACGAAUCAACAAGAAAAUAAAAAUGAACACUCCAACUAAGAGAUAUACAAAGGAAAUACAUUCCCAAAUGUUUGGUGAUGUGAGAGGCGGUCCAACUGGACUUUUAUCCAAAACCAAGCAAAGGUUUGAAGUAUUUUAUUUUGCUUCAGUUUUCCAUGCUGUCAUGUUGAUGUAUGGUAUGAAAAGUUAUCCUCUUCAAUAUCAUUCAGUAUUCACAGAUACUUUCUAUACUGGUUUGUGAGGUUCGACAAAUACAUGCAUUGAACAAAAGGGAAAUAAUUCCUUUAGUGACAUUCCACAGGCCUGGCUUUAGUAAGCCAUUGUUACUGUUAUUCAGUUGUUCUUUAAAAGAUUUUAAAUGUGUAUAUCUUCCUUGGUAUAAGAAAAUCUUCAAGUCUUGUAGGAUGUAUUUCUGAUACAAGAUACAAGUCAUUUUGUCUCUUGUGUGUCUCUUGUACAUCUCUUACUGUCGCAUCACCUGUGGGACCACUUGUCUGAGACCUUGAUGGUGAGCAAGAAAGAAGCUGGUGUCAAACAUGGGCCUUGACCUAGAGAACUGGCUGUCUAGAAUGGCAGCGUGGAUCACAUGGAGUGUGUUAGGAUGAGUUUCAUGAAGGAUGUAAUCCCAGAAAGGAGCAGAGUGAUUUGUUGUCACAGCACACACUCUCUGAGGAAUGCCUCGUCGCUCGGGUGCUCUUGGCAUCACGCUUGCCAGGAAACCUCCAUCUCUCCAGCCUGCCACGGAGAACCUUUUCUGAGGCUUCUUUUAGACUCUCCAUGUCUCUAUCACAAUAAUUAACGUCGUGAUUUUUCUCUACACCCAUUCUUUACUGUUCUGUGAGUAAAUUGAGACUAGAUAAUAUGAUACUGCUUUUUGCAAACUGGGGAAAUAGCGCAUGGCGAAAAAAUCGAUUUAAUAAAUAUUAUUGCAAUGUAUAGAAAGAAUCGAGAGAGCGAAGUCGUUCCGCAAGGGACGUGGAAGCCAUUUUAAUUCCGAGACACCGGCGCUUCCUUAAGAAGCCAGCAUUUAGGAAGCUGUUGCAGAUGUAAAGCAGACCUGAAAAACAGGACUGACAGAGGGGAGGGCCAGCAGUCCGCGCACCUCCACGCAGACCACCGGGACCUGAGAUAGCAGACAGACAGCAGACUUUGAAGGCCUUCAAGGCAAUAGGUUCAAUUAAUUUUUCUAAAAGUCUUGAUGUGAAAUUGAAAGUCAAAUUUAUAUUAGG